GCAAGUCGUGCGACAGACCAGGAAUUGAUUACUUCGGUUUGAUUUUCCUGACGAUGAGCGGCGAACGGGUGCGUAACACGUGAGAAACCUGCCCUUAAGUUCGGGAUAGCCCUACGAAAGUAGGAUUAAUACCGAAUGUGGCCAAGGAAGGGCAUCUUCCCUUGGCUAAAGCUCGGUUAUAGAGCGCUUUUGGAUGGUCUCGCGGUCUAUCAGCUUGUUGGUGAGGUAACGGCUCACCAAGGCUCUGACGGAUAGCUGGUCUGAGAGGAUGAUCAGUCACACUGGAACUGAGACACGGUCCAGACACCUACGGGUGGCAGCAGUCGAGAAUCAUUCACAAUGGGCGCAAGCCUGAUGGUGCGACGCCGCGUGGGGGAUGAAGGGCUUCGGUUCGUAAACCCCUGUCAUCUGUGAGUAAGGCUCCCAAUAAAAGCUUGGGAGAUUGAUAUUAGCAGAAGAGGAAGGGACGGCUAACUCAGUGCCAGCAGCCGCGGUAAUACUGAGGUCCCAAGCGUUGUUCGGAUUUACUGGGCGUAAAGGGUGCGUAGGCGGCUAGAAAAGUUUGGUGUGAAAUCUCCGGGCUCAACCCGGAAACUGCAUUGAAAACUAGAUAGCUAGAGGAUCGGAGAGGAGAUUGGAAUUCUCGGUGUAGCAGUGAAAUGCGUAGAUAUCGAGAGGAACACCAGUUGCGAAGGCGGAUCUCUGGACGGUUCCUGACGCUGAGGCACGAAAGCUGGGGUAGCGAAGAGGAUUAGAUACCCUCGUAGUCCCAGCCGUAAACGGUGCGCACUUGCUGUGGGCGGAUUCGACCCCGUCCGUGGCGAAGCUAACGCGUUAAGUGCGCCGCCUGGGGAGUACGGUCGCA
rnacentral:rRNA from 1 species